AUGCAUCUAUUCCCUGCACUCAUCUUCUCUUACUCUUCAAUUCCUUCCCCCUUGCUUUCUGAUUCCUUUCCCCCCCCUCCAAUGAAAAAAAUGACCUGUGAUAAGAGUAUUUCUUGUCAGAGAGCAAUGCCAACAACUGCUGCUUUCUGCAAGGCAGUAUAUAAGCAGUGAGUGGUGAAGUGGGAAGUGGUCUGAGCUCAUCAUCACAAGCAGCAUCUCAAUGCUCGCUGUGCUGUGUGGGAGAUGUGCAACCCCCGCCCUCAUAUGAAAAAAGUGAAUAAGCAGAAAGCUAUCUGUGAGAUUCAUUAUUAUCAGAAGUCUGAGAAUCUCAUUUUCCUCAAGACCAUGUUUGUAUGUUUUG
rnacentral:sRNA from 1 species